rnacentral:rRNA from 1 species
CCUACGGGUGGCAGCAGUAGGGAAUAUUGCUCAAUGGGCGAAACCCUGAAGCAGCAACGUCGCGUGGAGGAUGAAGGUCCUCGGAUUGUAAACCCCCUUUGUUAGAGAAGAUAAUGACGGUAUCUAACGAAUAAGCACCGGCCAACUCCGUGCCAGCAGCCGCGGUAAUACGGCGGGUGCAAGCGUUACUCGGAAUCACUGGGCGUAAAGGGCGCGUAGGCGGGAUAGCAAGUCAGGUGGGAAAGUCUUUGGGUUAAACAUAAAAAUGCAGUUGAAACUGUUAUUCUAGAGUGGAGGAGAGGUAGGGGGAAUUCUUGGUGUAGGGGUGAAAUGCGUAGAGAACAAGAAGAA